rnacentral:siRNA from 1 species
GACAUUCUAGUUGUUGAUGUU